rnacentral:rRNA from 1 species
GAUGAACGCUGGCGGCGUGCUUAACACAUGCAAGUCGAACGGAACUACUCCAAUGAGAGUCUUCGGAACGGAUUUGGUUUAGUUUAGUGGCGGACGGGUGAGUAACGCGUGGGUAACCUGCCCUAUACAGGGGGAUAACAGUUGGAAACGACUGUUAAUACCGCAUAAGCGCACAGGAGCGCAUGCUCCGGUGUGAAAAACUCCGGUGGUAUAGGAUGGACCCGCGUCUGAUUAGCUGGUUGGCGGGGUAACGGCCCACCAAGGCGACGAUCAGUAGCCGGCCUGAGAGGGUGAACGGCCACAUUGGGACUGAGACACGGCCCAAACUCCUACGGGAGGCAGCAGUGGGGAAUAUUGCACAAUGGGGGAAACCCUGAUGCAGCGACGCCGCGUUAGCGAAGAAGUAUCUCGGUAUGUAAAGCUCUAUCAGCAGGGAAGAAAAUGACGGUACCUGACUAAGAAGCCCCGGCUAACUACGUG